rnacentral:lncRNA from 1 species
UGUUUCCUGUGUCUCCAAAGCCAUUGCUACUGACCUGAGCUAGCUCUAAGCUUUCUCGCUUUCAUUGUCCUGGAAUCUGCUUCCAGAUCUGCACGUUUCCUGCUCAUUGGCAACCCACCCAGGCUAUUCUGGGAUAGCUCUAAUCCAAUAAUAAACUUCUCAAAAAUAGAACUAAGUGGAAGACACACCAAAUAGUUUUGAACAACAAAUACAGUUUUUUGUUAAGUUUCCAAAAUAAACCUUUAAAAAUAAAUUGAAAUUUUUUUAGUAAAUAUAUCAGAAAUAAGUAAUAAAUUCUC